rnacentral:rRNA from 1 species
CACGUAGGGGGCAAGCGUUGUCCGGAAUUACUGGGCGUAAAGCGCGUGUAGGCGGCCCUGCAAGUCGGGUGUGAAAUCCCACGGCUCAACCGUGGAAGUGCACUCGAAACUGCAGGGCUAGAGUCCUGGAGAGGAAGGUGGAAUGCUUGGUGUAGAGGUGAAAUUCGUAGAUAUCAAGCGGAACACCGGUGGCGAAGGCGGCCUUCUGGACAGUGACUGACGCUGAGACGCGAAAGCGUGGGGAGCAAACAGG